rnacentral:rRNA from 1 species
UACGAAGGGUGCAAGCGUUUCUCGGAAUUACUGGGCGUAAAGGGUGCGCAGGCGGCCAAGUGUGUGAGGCGUGAAAGCCCGGGGCUUAACCCCGGAAUUGCACCUCAAACUACAUGGCUAGAGCAUUGGAGAGGGUAGCAGAAUUCACGGUGUAGCAGUGAAAUGCGUAGAUAUCGUGAGGAAUACCAGAGGCGAAGGCGGCUACCUGGACAAUUGCUGACGCUCAGGCACGAAAGCGUGGGGAGCAAAAGGG